rnacentral:rRNA from 1 species
GAUGAACGCUGGCGGCGUGCCUAAUACAUGCAAGUCGAGCGAACGGGCGAGAAGCUUGCUUCUCUGAUGUUAGCGGCGGACGGGUGAGUAACACGUGGAUAACCUACCUAUAAGACUGGGAUAACUUCGGGAAACCGGAGCUAAUACCGGAUGAUAUUUUGAACCGCAUGGUUCAAAAGUGAAAGACGGUCUUGCUGUCACUUAUAGAUGGAUCCGCGCUGCAUUAGCUAGUUGGUAAGGUAACGGCUUACCAAGGCAACGAUGCAUAGCCGACCUGAGAGGGUGAUCGGCCACACUAGAACUGAGACACGGUCCAGACUCCUACGGGAGGCAGCAGUAGGGAAUCUUCCGCAAUGGGCGAAAGCCUGACGGAGCAACGCCGCGUGAGUGAUGAAGGUCUUCGGAUCGUAAAACUCUGUUAUUAGGGAAGAACAUAUGUGUAAGUAACUGUGCACAUCUUGACGGUACCUAAUCAGAAAGCCACGGCUAACUACGUG